CUUUCCAGGUAAGUAUGUGGAGAAGUAGUAUAAUUUUGAUUAUAGAAAUUUGUUUUCCAUUUGAAAUAUAGUUGUUAUAGGUUAUAGGAAGUAAAUAUGUUAAUAUAGGAAGUAAACAUUGAUAGAUGGGUUAGUUACUUAAUCUUAGGGAUUGUAUAAUCAUAGGCUUGAUUUUCCUUCCUGUUUAGAUACCGUCUCUCAUUUAUAAAUAGGUUGUAAUCUCUAUUGUGAUAUACAACAAAUAUUAUUCUUCUACAUGGUAUCAGAGUCAUUCUCGUAGAGAUUUUUUUUCUUUUCUCUUUCGUCAAGUUUUAAAAUUUUUUUUUGAGACUUAGGGCUCUGUUCAUUUGAGUCAUCCAUAAAGGGUAACAUUUGGAUCUCACAUCGCUGGAGUCGCCACACCUACCCCUUGUCAGAUCUGAGGUUUGUUUGCCGUUCGGGUGUUGGGUGAAGGUGUUUUUUGGUACUGUUCAUCGGCACUGUUCACGAUACUGUUCAUCGGCACUGUUCACGAGUACUGUUCUUCUGAUCCUUUGUUAUUUUGAUUGUUUUGGGUUGGUUGUCCUGAUGGCUGAAAUUAAAACCACCGUAAGUGAUGUGAUUCCUAUGAUGACUAAAAUCACAGAACACAAAUUAAAUGGAUCUAAUUUUUUAGAUUGGAGUAAGACUAUUCGUAUUUAUUUACGAAGUAUUGCAAUAGAUGAUCAUCUUACCAAGGAUCUUCCAACUGAUGAAACUCGUAGAGAUUGGAUGAGGGAUGAUGCUCGUUUGUUUCUGCAGAUUCGAAAUUCUAUUCAUAGUGAGGUGAUUAGUCUUAUUAAUCACCGUGAAUUUGUUAAAGAAUUAAUGGAGUAUUUGGAAUUUAUGUAUUCUGGCAAAGGGAAUAUUUCCUAUAUUUAUGAUGUGUGUAAAGCGUUUUACCGAGCCGAUAAAAAUGAUAGAACUUUGACAUCCUAUUUUAUGGAUUUUAAAAGAGUUUAUGAAGAACUUAAUGUAUUGAUGCCCUUUAGUACAGAUGUGAAAACUCAACAAGCUCAAUGAGAGCAAAUGGCUGUUAUGAGCUUUCUUGCAGGUCUCCCUCCAGAGUUUGAGACAGCUAAAUCUCAGGUUCUUUCUGACUCUGAAAUAUCAUCGUUACAUGAUGUGUUCACUAGGAUAUUGCGUACAGAAUCUCCAAUUCCUUCACACCCCACUAGUGCCCUUGUUAGCCGCAAUGACAGUGGCAAACAGAAUAAUAGAGGUGGGCAAAGGGGAGGUUUUAAUGGUGGUAAAAGAUCUCAGCAUUUUGGGGAAACAGGUUCUACUUCUGACUCAGGAGGAAUCAUUUGUUAUUACUGCAGCGAACCUGGACAUACUAAGAAGACAUGUUAAAAACUACAGAAUAAGAAUCAGCGCACACAAAUGGCGCAUAUGGCAGUUGAGGCCCCUUCAGAUCAGGGGAUUUUGAUAUAUUGAGAUGAGUAUGCACAAUUCACCCAAUACCAGGCAUCUCUGAAAUCCUCUAAUUCCUCCUCUAUCACUGCAAUUGCCGAGUCAGGUAACUCUACUGCAUAUCUUGUGUCUUCAUCCUCCAAAUGGGUUAUUGAUUCUGGUGCUACCGAUCAUAUGUCAGGUGAUUCUACCCUUUUGUCCAAUCUUGAGUCUCAUGCAUCGACUUCUUAUGUUACUCUUGCUGAUGGUACUAAAUCUUUUGUCAUGGGUUCUGGUCAUGUCAACUUAACCCCUUCUCUUUUUGUAUCCUCUGUGUUAUGUCUCCUUAAGUUCGCAUAUAAUUUGCUUUCUGUUAGUAAACUCACUCGUGCAUUGAAUUGUUGUGUCUCAUUCUUUCUUGAUCACUGUAUUUUUCAGGAUCUUUCGACGAAGCAAAUUAUUGGUAGAGGGCGUGAGUCAGAGCGUCUCUACGUCUUGGAUCAGCAACUACCUAGAUCACUUGCAUGUUCCACGCGUUUAACACCUUUUGAUGUUCAUUGUCGUUUGGGGCAUCCUUCUCUCUCGGCUUUGAAGAAGUUAAAUCCACAAUUUCAUUUUUUGUCUGUUUUAGAUUGUGAGUCUUGUCAAUUUGCCAAACAUCAUCGUUUUCCUUCAGUAUCUCGUAUCUCGAGUCAAUAAACGGGCUUCGUCCCCCUUUGAGUUAGUACAUUCAGAUGUUUAGGGUCCUUGCACUACUGUGUCUAAGUCUGGCUUUAAGUACUUUGUUACUUUGUUGAUUACUUCUCUCGUACUACUUGGUUAUUUUUAAUGAAGAGUCGUUCAGAAUUAUUUUAUAUCUUUUGUGCGUUUUAUGCUGAAAUCCAAACCCAAUUCAAUGUUCCCAUUCGUAUAUUGCAAAGUGAUAAUGCUAAAGAGUAUCUCUCUAGGAAAUUUCAAUCUUAUUUGUUAUAAAAAGGGAUUCUUCAUCAGUUCUCUUGUGUUGAUACUCCUUCACAAAAUGGAAUCGAAGUUAUGCGGUGUAAGAAAGGCAUCUUCUUAUCUCAAAGAAAAUAUGUUCUUGAUUUGUUAGCAAAAACAGGAAAAUUAGGUGCUAAGCCUUGUAGUGCCCCAAUGACCCCUAACCUUCAACUUACCACAGAAGACAGUGAGCCAUUUGCAGAUCCUGAAAGGUAUAGAAGAUUAGUUGGCAAGCUGAAUUAUUUGACAGUGACUCGUCCUGAUAUUGCAUAUUCAGUGAGUGUGGUAAGUCAGUUUAUGUCCUCUCCUACUGUUGCCCAGUGGGAUGCUUUGGGACAAAUUCUUUGUUACCUUAAAAGGGCCCCAAGGCGAGGCCUAUUCUAUGGUAACCAUGGGCACUCAAAUAUUGAAUGCUUUUCUGAUGCUGAUUGGGCAGGCUCGAAGGUUGAUAGGAGGUCAAUUACUGGGUAUUGUAUUUUUGUGGGAGGUAACUUGGUCUCAUGGAAAAGUAAGAAGCAAAAUAUGGUCUCCCGUUCUAGUGCUGAAUUUGAAUAUCGAGCCAUGGCACAAGCCGUUUGUGAAAUCUUGUGGGUACAUCAACUAUUGAAAGAAGUUGAGUUCUCAAAUUCGGUGCCUGCUAAGUUGUGGUGUGAUAAUCAAGCAGCUAUCCACAUUGCCUCCAAUCCAGUAUUUCACGAGAGGACUAAACACAUCGAGAUUGAUUGUCAUUUUGUUCGUGAAAAGGUCCAACAAAAGAUAAUAUCAACAGGACAUAUCCGGACUGGAGAACAAUUGGGAGAUAUCUUCACUAAAGCUCUAAAUGGAACUCGAAUUGAGUAUAUAUGUAACAAGUUUGGCAUGAUUAACAUUUAUGCUCCAACUUGAGGGGGAGUGUUAUAGGUUAUAGAAAGUAAAUAUAUUAAUAUAGGAAGUAAACAUCGAUAGAUGGGUUAGUUACUUAAUCUUAGGGAUUGUAUAAUCGAAUUGUAUAAUCAUAGGCUUGAUUUUCCUUCCUGUUUAGACACCGUCUCUCAUGUAUAAAUAGGUUGUAAUCUCUAUUGUGAUAUACAACAAAUAUUAUCCUUCUACAAUAGUUAAAAACAAAAUUUUAGUAUAAAUUUAAAUAAUGGAAAAUAAUUUGAAUGGAACAUAUUGAUUUAAGUGUUCUUAGUUUUCCAAUCUCCAUGUUGAAAACUGACACAUGCAAAAAUGGAAAUCAGUUUUCCAGUUUUCUACAAAAACUUUGCAAACUAGCCUAGUUUUUCAAAAGUGAGCAAGCCCUUUAUAUUUUGCAAAUCAGUUAAGCUUUGUUUUUGUUUAUUUAGACAAUCAUUAAAAGAUUUUAUUAUUUACAAAUUCACAGCAAGCUUUGUUGUUCAUUGCUAAAAAGCUUGACUUUCUAACUAGAGAAAGCUGGGAUAAAACAUAAUCAUCACCAUAUGUAGCUAGUUCUAGAAUGAAAACAAGUUGUUUAGGCAGCACAACACGCAUCACAAAUGCCUAUAGCCAAGUCUAAUGCACUUGUGAAAAAAAAAGUUCAAUACACAGAUAAAGUAUUCAAAAUAAAAAGGAUGAAGAAUCAACAUGUCAAAGAAACUAGAUUAUAACCAAUUAACCUACACCAAUCA
rnacentral:lncRNA from 1 species